rnacentral:rRNA from 1 species
CCUACUGGUGGCAGCAGUGGGGAAUAUUGGACAAUGGGGGGAACCCUGAUCCAGCCAUGCCGCGUGUGUGAAGAAGGCCCUCGGGUUGUAAAGCACUUUCAGUGAGGAAGAACGCCUGGUGGUUAAUACCCAUCAGGAAAGACAUCACUCACAGAAGAAGCACCGGCUAACUCCGUGCCAGCAGCCGCGGUAAUACGGAGGGUGCGAGCGUUAAUCGGAAUUACUGGGCGUAAAGCGCGCGUAGGUGGCUUGAUAAGCCGGUUGUGAAAGCCCCGGGCUCAACCUGGGAACGGCAUCCGGAACUGUCAAGCUAGAGUGCAGGAGAGGAAGGUAGAAUUCCCGGUGUAGCGGUGAAAUGCGUAGAGAUCGGGAGGAAUACCAGUGGCGAAGGCGGCCUUCUGGACUGACACUGACACUGAGGUGCGAAAGCGUGGGUAGCAAACAGGAUUAGAUACCCUGGUAGUC